rnacentral:lncRNA from 1 species
GCCCUUCUGGCCUUUCCCUCCCUCGCGAGUGGGUCCCCUCUACCCGACUGCCUCGUGCUAUCCCACGGGCACACGGUACAUCCGCCACGGAAUCACGACUGCCUCGUUCCUGCAUCUGACGUCAACCCAGUACAUUUUAAAAGACGGAAGGGACCCACCAACUGGGCUCCGGCUCCCAGGAAGGAAAAGCCCGAAGAUAAACUAGACCCCGAGAGUGCAGCCCGCGGCGACACGGAGGUCGGCGGGGCCUUCCGGGCGGGCAUCGGGCCCUGCAGCCGUACCGGGUCCGCCCGCACAGCUCGGCCGGGCCACGCUGACUCGGGCUCAAACAGCCCCCGAAGCCAGCGCUGGGCGUGGAGGGCAGGAUGGGGGGCGCGCGGCGGCCCGGAGUCCGCCCCUCCGGCCUCGCCGGCCGGCCAACCCCUCCCGGCCGGGCAAGCGGCGCCCAGCUCCCUCCCUCCGCCUCCCCGGCUCCUCACCGGCUGCGCCAGGACCGCGUGCGCGAGCAGGCAGACACGUGCGCGCGCGAGACCCGGACCCGCCGGGAAUGCUCGCCCGGCAGACCCCACCCCACUCCCAGCAGCUGUGGGUGCUCAGCCCGCGCGAGCGCCGCCGCCUCGGGAGCCUCCUGAGUCACGUGGUCCCGCGCCGGGUGACGCCGAGUCCGCGAGUCCCAGGCGGGAGCGUGGCCUCCCGAGCGCGAAUGACACUAACGCGGCCGCCAUGUUUGUUGAGGGCACCCGGCUUCUCCCACUCUCGCAUCGGGAAGAGAUCGCGAGUUCCCGGCAACCUCGCCCCGGGGAAGCAGAGGUGGAGCUCUCGGGGCCAGGCAGCACUCCCAGUAGGGCGCCGGCCUCUCGGUCACGCAGGCUGACCCCGCGCUUAAACCCUUUAGCUCGGUUUGGACUUUUCCGGGGGCAGAAGUCGUGCAUUUUGGCGGAGACUAUCUCCCGGUUGCGCCCAAGGACUGUAUUUCUGCCGUCAAGCUCCAACCCCUUACCAAGUGGCAGGCAGUGGAAGAAUUUUCGGCUCAUUUUAAUACAAGAGAAAACAGCGUGUUCAAAGGUUUCACGCAAGUGUUAA